GACGAACGCUGGCGGCGUGCUUAACACAUGCAAGUCGUACGGUAAGGCCCUUUCGGGGGUCCACGAGUGGCGAACGGGUGCGUAACACGUGAGUAACCUGCCCACAACUUUGGGAUAACGCUAGGAAACUGGUGCUAAUACUGGAUAUGUGCUCCUGCUGCAUGGUGGGGGUUGGAAAGCUCCGGCGGUUGUGGAUGGACUCGCGGCCUAUCAGCUUGUUGGUGGGGUAGUGGCCUACCAAGGCGGCGACGGGGAGCCGGCGUGAGAAGGUGACCGGCCACACUGGCACUGAGGCACGGCCCAGGCUCCUACGGGAGGCAGCAGUAGGGACUCUUGCGCGAUGGGCGGAAGCCUGACGGAGCAGCGCCGCGUGCGUGCUGAAGGUCUUCGGAUGGUAAAACUCUGUUAUUGGGGAAGAACAAAUGUGUAAGUAACUAUGCGCGUGUUGACGGUACCUAAUCAGGAAGCCACGGCUAACUACGUG
rnacentral:rRNA from 1 species